GUAGCAAGUAUUUUUUUCAAACUUUACAUCACAUAUUGUAACGUGCAGCAGUGCCUGUGCUUUAACCAUGUGCUUUUAGCAUUUAUCAGUGGUGGAAAAACAUGAAUUUGGACCCCCCCCAGGACCAGUAACAUCUGUAGAAACAUCAGCUUUAACAUGGAGCCUUCAUCAGCAGCAGCAACAUGCAACAGAACGAAAAGAAAAAACAUUUCCCUCACAUCACAUGAGAAGGCCAAGAGAUUAAAAACUGUGCAGGAAGGUGAGGAGACGCCGGAGUGUGUACGUUCCUCCUGCUCACCGAGGAUCUCUGUGCUGCUCGACCGCCUUCAACAACCAAUUACAUUGAAUGAGCUGAUGGAGCUGCUGCAUUAUGCUGCUCUGGGGAAAACAGGUGGCAUUAAACAGCCCAGUUGGUGUCGUCUCCUCCAUCAGAAGAGGAUUAAAGCCGUGAAUGUGGUGAUCGUGGAGGGCCUGACCCAGAGUCACUUUUACAAACACUACCUCACCCUGCGACACCUCAGGACCAGCUACACCACUAGGGUCACCUUUACUCCAUCAUCUACCGAUCUGGCAUCAGGAAUCUUCAGUAGUGAUAUCCCUGAAUCGGAUGGUCCGUCCAUUUCCCAAAGACACACUGAAAGCAGUGAAUUGCACAAAGCACUGAGGAGUCACCCAGUAAUCACUAAGUUUGGGACACAGAGGAGAGGACUGACAGCGUACCUUCUCACCCAGGAAGAGAUGAUCAAGAGACACUACCCUGUCAAAGGAAUGCCAGGCUUUGAGGGAUUUGUGUGCACAGACAGUGUUGACUCUGUGACUGACAACAGCCCUCUGUAUGGACUUGACUGUGAGAUGUGUCUAACAGAAAAGGGAAAUGAGUUGGCUCGUGUUUCUUUGGUGGAUAGUGACGGGAACUGUGUGCUGGACGAUUUGGUGAAACCUCAGAACCGAAUCCUCAACUACCUCACCAGGUUCUCUGGUAUUACUGCAGCGAUGUUGCGACCAAUCACAACCACCUUGCGGGACGUUCAAGUGAAGCUCAGGGCGUUGUUGCCGAGUGACGCAGUUCUGGUGGGCCAUUCACUUAACAACGACCUCAUAGCUCUGAAACUGAUCCACCAGCAUGUAAUCGACACCUCGUUGCUGUACAGGAGAGAGUUUGGACAGAGGUUUAAACUUAAGGUGCUGGCGGAGACAGUGCUGAAGAGGCAAAUACAAACCGAAGAGAAGAAGGGUCAUAAUUCCACUGAGGAUGCUGUGGCAGCCCUGGAGCUGGCUCAGUACUUUAUUAAAACAGGACCUCUUCAGGUUGUAGAACUUCUACUGGAGGAGCUGUGGGGAUAUACAGUAGUGGAGGAGUCCACUGACUGUGCACCUGCACCCACACCAAGUCACAGGUUUGCUGACAUACUACAGACACUUGGCCGGUCAGUAGCCUUUUUAGGGAAGCGCUCUGACAUCGCCCUGGAUCUGUCCAAUCAGCUGUGGCACAACUCUGACAAAGAGGUGUUGGCCUCUUUCAGGCGACAGACCAAGUGUCCGGACCUCUCAGUGCUCCAGUUUUCUUCCUUCUCAGACCAUCUGAAGAGGUGCCUACCUCAUCAGGAGCAGCAGUACCAGAGGGUGUGUGCAAACCUUCGAGAUAUGUGUGUAGUGUUUGCCGGGCCGUUCCCUGCAGGUUUCUCUGAGAGGAAAGUGAGGCGGCUCUUUUGUUGCUGCGGACCGGUUCGGAAAAUCAAAAUGUUGAACACAACUGUCAGGGUACAUGCAGAGGUAGAGUUCGAGCUGCUGGAGGGAGCUAUGUUGGCUUUAAAAACUUUGAAUGGACUCAAUAUGCAGGAACAGUCCAUCCAGGUCCGGAGGCCUGUUUAUGAGUCAAUGCUGGACUUGGAUCUGACUCUUGAGGCUUUGAUGAGUGACAGUCUCAACACCAGUCACCUCUACGCUGUUAAAUUAAACCCCAGUACGGCUGAGUGCAUACGAAUUUCUGCAAAGGUCAAUGGACACACGUUAGAUGCAAACUGUUCAGGUAUUACUCCUGUUACAACAGCGAACGGGUUCCCCCCAGCUAAAGUAAACGGUAAACGGUUGCAGCCCACCACCACAAAGUCUAAACUGUCUGAGGAGACGGUCAGAGAGACAUUUGGUCACUUUGGUACAGUGGAGAGAGUUGUCCUGCUUGCCAAACCUGGAAAACUUGCAAGACAUGCAUACAUAAAGUUUGAGAGUUCAGAGGGCAAACAUGCAGCCCUCAGCUCCUCUGAGGAUCUCCGGAAGGAAAACUACCUCAUCUGUCCAUCCCUAACUCCACCCCACUUACCGUCAUGGGUUGCUGUGACAACGCCAGUCACCACAGUGGAUCCUGACAGGGAAGCAGCAGAAGACGAGGAGAGGACCCACAUGCACACCAGUUCUCAGGUAAAGACAAGGACCAGGAAAUCGAUCACAUGAUGAGGAAGUUGGACCGCCGCCUGCGGAAACUCUUCAGAUCUCUCCCAGACGGCACCUUGUCUGUGGUUGUUCUGCUCGGACACACCAGUGCUCAUGGCCAGCUUCCUGGUUUGUGCCUUAUGGAGGUCAAGCAAGGGUCUUGAGGAGAACAGUGACCAGGUCCUCUGUGGAUGAUCAUAAACCUGGUCUAUCAAAAUAUCUUCCAGUCCAAUCGUGCCUGAUCUUGUGUGUCACUUGAACCAAAUGAAAGAUAAAAUCAAAUAAUUAAAAAAUAAAUCACCACAGACUUCCUUUUA